GCAGUUGCAUGAGAUGUGUUGCCCUCUAUCCAGGGUGCAAUGUGGCUUGGUAUCACCCAUGGACUGACCCCUUCUUGGGUUAAUUUACCUAUAUAACUUUUCUGGAAGGGUGUGACCCUGGCAGCCUACGGAGACCCUGGGAAUAUCUUCCAGAGGGCCCUGGACCAGGGAUGUCUGCCUGGGUGUGAGACAGACAACCUCUCACCCUCCAUGUACCUCCUGGGUCAGGGCAUGGAAAUCUCACAGGCACCCUGCUCCAGGCAGAAGAGGAGGGGGCAGCCUUAGAGGGUGUGGGCAGUUCCCUGGCUCCUGGGGGGACUUCAAACUUAUUGCAGACGGAAACCCCUUCUUCCUCAUUUUCAGUCCAACCAACACACUUGGUGGCUAGAGAAACUUUACUUCCUGUUUUUAUUUAUAUAUUAAAUGUUUUCUUUUCAUUUUACACAAGAUGUGUAUUUAAACAACCAGAUCCUGGAUUUGAAGAAGAACAUAUCUGGAAUCCGUUCUGUUCUUUUAAUUGUCACUUAGUCCUGUGUGAGGACAGAUUUGUUCUAUGUGUAACCGCUACAUUUAAAAAGUUAUAAAAUUGUUCUUAGCGUUACAAUGAUAUAUUUUUAAAAAUAAAAUUUUCUAAUUGAACAAUGUAUGCAAAGGUUAUUCCCCCUUUUUUUUUCCUGCCCCCAACAAACCUAAAGGAUCACUAUAUUUUUUAUACUGUUGUUGUUAAAGUCCUGGAAUAUAGAGAUAAACAGUGAGUGAGCAGUCCCUGGUGGAGAAAGAGAGUCUUUUUCACAGAAACAGUGUUUUCCCUCAGCUGUCUUCAUUGGAAAUCACUCAACACCAAUGACUCAAUGGCCAUUGGAAAUCAAUGAUCGUUGUUCAUUCAGUACAAACAAACAAGCAAACAAAAAUUAUCAAUAUGUUUGUACAGCUACGCCCGAUAAUUUAUGUACAAUAAAGGAAUGAGGAACAGGAAAGUGAAGAAGAGAGAAAGGGAUGCUGGACCAGUAGAUGUGAUGGAAACAUAUUGCAAUUUUCUACGUGAGAAUGUCUGCUUGGUCUGUAGAAACAGAGUUCUGGAGUAAAGCAGUGAGUAUGUUCUCAGUAGACCCUCCUGUCUGCUUCUGGAACACAUCAACUGAAUCUUUGUCCUCCAUUUCCAGUUCUGCAGAUGUGUCUGUUUCACUGAUUGGCCCCAGUCAAAAUGGAAUCUGAUCUGUGUCAUGUAGAAACUCUGCCUUUCACCAAAGGCUUUCACUCAUUCACUAAGUGGUGUGCACCUCUUCAACAUCAACUGCAUCCUGGGACCAUCCUACCUGCCACCUUCAAAUUCUGCCAUAGCGGAGCCUGAAGGCUCUUCAGCUGCAGCUUCACCAAAGAAGUCCAGAGUGUGCACCAAACUAGUGAGCCAGCAGCUCCCGAUGCCGCAGGUGAAGGAGGCAGCAGAGCCUUACUCGCUGUUUUUAUCACCAUCCCUCCAGCAACAGCAGCAGCAGCAGCAUCCACAACUACUAUUUCUAAUUGUGGUAAUAAUGAUGAUCACACUUAGAAUAAUGAUAAAUAACAGUAGUUGUAAUUGCUGACAUGUUUAGUUUAUAUAUAGAUUUAUUAUUUGUAAUGUUCUAUAAUUUACUUUUAGUAAUAUACACAUUAAUUGUGUCAUAAAUAUCAGGACCUCAAAACACCCCACCUAAUGAGUGAUUCUCACAUAUGGACCCAUGGCUGCCCACCUGCUAGCGUGGGUCCUCUCACCACUCCACCCCCAGAGCUUCGAUCUGUCUGGUCAACAUUCUGGGACAAUGAAGUAGUUAAGUCAUAUGGUCUGACUGUGGUCUUGGCAAAUAGCUUGACUUGUUAGAAAUCAAAGGCUGACUUUAAGACGUACUCAGCUGUUUGGCUAAAUUGUGGCAGAAAAAAAUGUCUUCUCAGCAGAUAUACCUUUGUAUCUCUUGCUUUCAGAGUAAAAGAUUGUUUCAGUCACAGUAGUUUGAGUUAAUCUGUAUUGAAAAUCAUCAACAGCUUACAAAUACUGAAAGGGGACAAAAAUAAUUUGCAGACACAUUGAGUCCAUUAUAAGUGCUUUCAAAUCUCUCCUAUAAGAAAUGAAAAAUAGAAUGUUAGGCCUUGAUUUCUUAAACUCAGCCUUCAGCCAUUUUCCCAAAUUAUUCUACAUGUUUCCAAGACAUUUCAGAAGCAUUCUCUGGUGGGGAUUAUUUCCAAUUGUGAAGAGUACUAGAAGGAUGAGAAUCAAAAGGAAUCUUUCUUCUAUCGCAAAAGAGUCAAUCUCCAGGAUUUCAAAGGC
rnacentral:lncRNA from 1 species